GAGCUGUGACCCCAAGAACAGUAUUUCCAGGAAUCCCCCUCUUAUCAUCUAAGGGAUUCCUGGGAAAACUGGACCCCGAGGACACAGUG
rnacentral:pre_miRNA from 1 species